rnacentral:rRNA from 1 species
AGUGAACGCUGGCGGUAGGCCUAACACAUGCAAGUCGAACGGCAGCACAGUAAGAGCUUGCUCUUACGGGUGGCGAGUGGCGGACGGGUGAGGAAUACAUCGGCAUCUACUUUUUCGUGGGGGAUAACGUAGGGAAACUUACGCUAAUACCGCAUACGACCUACGGGUGAAAGCAGGGGAUCUUCGGACCUUGCGCGAUUGAAUGAGCCGAUGUCGGAUUAGCUAGUUGGCGGGGUAAAGGCCCACCAAGGCGACGAUCCGUAGCUGGUCUGAGAGGAUGAUCAGCCACACUGGAACUGAGACACGGUCCAGACUCCUACGGGAGGCAGCAGUGGGGAAUAUUGGACAAUGGGCGCAAGCCUGAUCCAGCCAUGCCGCGUGGGUGAAGAAGGCCUUCGGGUUGUAAAGCCCUUUUGUUGGGAAAGAAAAGCAGCGGGUUAAUACCCCGCUGUUCUGACGGUACCCGAAGAAUAAGCACCGGCUAACUUCGUG